AUACGGAGGACGCGAGCGUUAUCCGGAUUCAUUGGGUUUAAAGGGUGCGCAGGCGGCCGUGCAAGUCAGCGGUGAAAGCCCGGGGCUCAACCCCGGAAGUGCCGUUGAUACUGCAUGGCUGGAAUGCGGUCGAGGCGGGCGGAACGUGGCGGGUAUGGGUGGAAUGCGGAGAUAUGCAACACGACGCCGGAAACGGAGGCAGCGCGGCCGGCGUACAUUGACGAGCGGGCACGAAAGCGUGGGGAUCGAACAGGAUUAGAUACCCUGGUAGUCCACGCCGUAAACGAUGGGCGCUCGUCGUCGGCGGCAGACAGUCGGCGGCCAAGCGAAAGCGAUAAGCGCCCCACCUGGGGAGUACGGUCGCAAGGCUGAAACUCAAAUGAAUUGACGGGG
rnacentral:rRNA from 1 species